UAACCUCCACAAGCUGACCUGCCCUCAGGCUGGGCUGGGUGAGUAUGUCUUCUAAUGGCUCAUCCUCAAGCACGACUAGAGC
rnacentral:pre_miRNA from 1 species